rnacentral:rRNA from 1 species
UGGGGAAUAUUGCACAAUGGGCGCAAGCCUGAUGCAGCCAUGCCGCGUGUAUGAAGAAGGCCUUCGGGUUGUAAAGUACUUUCAGCGGGGAGGAAGGGAGUAAAGUUAAUACCUUUGCUCAUUGACGUUACCCGCAGAAGAAGCACCGGCUAACUCCGUGCCAGCAGCCGCGGUAAUACGGAGGGUGCAAGCGUUAAUCGGAAUUACUGGGCGUAAAGCGCACGCAAGCGGUUUGUUAAGUCAGAUGUGAAAUCCCCGGGCUCAACCUGGGAACUGCAUCUGAUACUGGCAAGCUUGAGUCUCGUAGAGGGGGGUAGAAUUCCAGGUGUAGCGGUGAAAUGCGUAGAGAUCUGGAGGAAUACCGGUGGCGAAGGCGGCCCCCUGGACGAAGACUGACGCUCAGGUGCGAAAGCGUGGGGAGCAAACAGG